rnacentral:rRNA from 1 species
UACGUAGGGUGCAAGCGUUGUCCGGAAUUAUUGGGCGUAAAGAGCUCGUAGGCGGUUUGUUGCGUCGGCUGUGAAAUCCCGAGGCUCAACCUCGGGUCUGCAGUCGAUACGAGCAAACUAGAGUGUUGCAGGGGAGACUGGGAAUUCCUGGUGUAGCGGUGAAAUGCGCAGAUAUCAGGAGGAACACCGGUGGCGAAGGCGG